rnacentral:rRNA from 1 species
UACAGAGGGGGGCAAGCGUUGUUCGGAAUUACUGGGCGUAAAGGGCGCGUAGGCGGCCCGCUAAGUCGAACGUGAAAUCCCCCGAGCUCAACUCGGGAACUGCGUCCGAUACUGGCGGGCUUGAAUCCGGGAGAGGGAUGCGGAAUUCCAGGUGUAGCGGUGAAAUGCGUAGAUAUCUGGAGGAACACCGGUGGCGAAGGCGGCAUCCUGGACCGGCAUUGACGCUGAGGCGCGAAAGCUAGGGGAGCAAACGGG